UUUGAAACAUUAACUAUUUCGGAAAAACGUUGCUGCCUGCCAUUUGAUGAAAUGUACGUGAAACCAAGUAUGCGUUAUUGUGUCUCGUAUGGCGCCAGUUUAUAAUCUAUCUGGAAUUUUUGUACAAAAUUUAAUUGUUAAAAUCAUUCAGACAGUUGCUAAACUUGGUGAAGAAAUUUUAUGCCUAAUUUCAGACAAUCUUCCCACAAAUUGUAGCAUAUACCCAUUUUUUGCUUUAAGUUUAAAUAAGCCAUGGCUAGGUAAUAUUUGCAACCAAAGUAUAAUAAUGCUUCAUGAUCCAGUGCACUUGUUUAAAUCCAUUUAAAAAAACUGGCUAACAGAAAAAAAUUGGAACAAUUCAUCUUACACCAAAAAGUCAAUUAUUUAAAGGGUAUUAUUGGAUGGAUUUGGUAAGUUUAUACGAUAAAGUUGACAAUCUUUCAUACAAAGAUUGUCAACUUUAUACGAUAAAGUUGACAAAUCUUUCAUACAAAGCUAUUCAUCCAGGUGUAAUUGAUUGACAAAACGUCACCCAUACGUGUGCUGUUGUUAAUGAAAAGACUGUAGCUGCCCUUAAAAUUUGUGAUUUUAAUGAGAUAAGUGAAUUUCUUGAAAGAAUAUUAUUGAUAUGGAAUUACCUUAAUAUCAAACAAGAAGGUACGGACAUACGUUUAAAUGAUCCACAAUUAGAGCUUCAUACAUAAAUUUGAAGGAUAAACAACUUCAAGAGAUUUUGACAUUUGCUGAAGCUGUUGCAAAAGUGCUAGAAGGAAAGGGCUGGAAGUGGAAUAAAUCAUUCACAAGUGAAACUAAAAUUUUUUUGUCGCUUAUGCUCUAUGAAAUCGUAGAUUUAAUCCGAAAAUUGCUGAAUGAAGAUCAUUAACAUGUUCUUCCUGGAAUAUUUCAGACAGAGUGGUUAGAAGGAGAAUUUGGAAUAUACAGGCUGUUUUGUGGAGGCAGUUAUCAUGUUUUGGUUGAAAAGGAUAAAAAUAGUCUUCGUUUAUAACACCUGAAAUUGUUUAGUAAAAUGGAUGCUAUGGGUGUACCUAUUUCUCAAUGCUCAAUUAUUCAAUCAGAGUGUUUUCAAUUAGAUCUGAAUGAUGAUGACAUUAGUUAUAUUAAUAUGUCUGUCUCUUCAAUCGAUGCAAUUUCCGAAGAGAAGAAAACGCUUAUGUCCAGCAUAAGUUUUCACCAAGUAAUUUGUAUCUGAUAAUUUUGUUACCAAUGCAUCUGAGUUUACUGAGUUAGUUUCUCGCGGUCGACUAUGUCACCCAACUAAGGAUUUAUUUCAAUAUGUCAGGUUCUAACGAAGUUGGAUGACUCAUCAGACAAAUUUUUUUUUCAAUAUUGAAGACCGCAAAGUUAAAACGUUUUGCAAAUAAAUAAAGCAACACACAAUAUAUGGU